GGGUGAUCACACGCUAUACUCAGCAACUGUGGCUGCGAUGCAUGGUUAACACUUGAGGAAAUGUGCUUUCAAACAGCUACAAAGCACAGUGUCUGUUCUCUUUCUCCAGACACAGAACGCAGCCCCCUGGAGAGGCUUGGGCUCAGGCAUUGGCUGUGUGGGACAGACAGGAGAUGCUAUCUCAGCAGAGGCCUGGCAGUUUCACACAUUAAAAGGGCUCAUGAAAUCUGUCCAGUGAUGGAAGAAAACUUGGAGGAGCCAGGUGCAGAAAUCCCCAGCGGGCUUCCUGUCUGUUUCCAGUGGUCAGAAAGAUGGAGUUUUAAUCAAAACCGAUCACCAGAAACAUUUUAAAGAGGACCUUCUUGCAGAAUCUCAAGCAUCUUCCUUUUAUCAUGAUGAAUUCUUCUUUGUUAAUGCUGCCUUCUCUUCAUGAUGGAAAUGAUGUGUCUGCCUAAGGUGAACACCUGAUGUACAUGGUCAGUAGAUGUUGGAUCAGAUGAAUCCCCCCAGAUUUGUGAGGAAGUCUCUGGAUGGAAAGCCGCACUGGUUUCUGCUCAGUGUUUCUUGAGAAGGCAGCCUAAUUCAAAAACAUACAAUCCAAAUGGCUUGCACUGGGAGGGACCUUGAAGAUCAUCUAGCUCCAGCUCCAAAUUUUUGCUUGUGAUUGUUUUUAAAGCUUCUUGAAAUAUUUCAAUAUUUCAGCUUUACCAUUAAAUAAAUGGCAAAACUCACAUCAAGCUUGGCUACCUCAGCAUUCCUUGUAUUGGCUCUCUUCAUGCAAGAAACAGGGCAGAAGUGGAACUAUCAUGUACGGGUGAGCAGUGUGCAAAAAACCUGUCAGUUGUUCCAAGAACACUGAUAGUGAUUUUACUGUAGAGACUAUGAAAGUAGCUGUUUCACUUGGUUCUCCAACCUGCACUGAUUUGAAUCCUGGAAUUGCAUUUUGUUGGGAAGAGUUAAAAAUAUACUUAAUAAAAAUUGGCUUUAAAGCUAGAGGAAAAAAGACAAGGUGGUUAUUAAAGUUCAAAGUGCGAUGUGACUUAGGAGACUUGUGGGCUAAGUUUGAAGUUUUUUGGACCCACAUUCCAUCUGCCCUUAGAUACUGAACAGACAAGGUAUGUCAGCCGGGUCAAUUAUUUUCAUUCCAGGUAUUCGUACUUUUCAUAGGCCUUUAUAUCUGAAAAUAUAGUUUCCUUAUAUAUAUUUAUAUACGUUUAAAUAUUUCUGUUAACUUACAGUGGCAGGUGAGGAUCUGUUGGAGUAGCUAGUUUCACUAAUGCUGUGCUUAUAAUUGUUCUGCUUUUGAAUUUGUGCGUAGUACUGCUGUGAGGAUUCUGUAUCUGAUAAUGGCUUAUGUACUUCUAUGGAUAUAAAUGGCUCUUGAGAAAGGUUCGGUACUUGUUCUGUAUUUUUUCUGAUUUUCUGGAUGUAAUAAAAAAUAAAAG
ensembl:lncRNA